GGCUGGUCCCAGUGCAAUGGUGUUUACAGCUAACUGGUCACAACCAGUUAGAGAUGACUUUGUUCCUUCUCCACUCCCACUGCUUCACUUGACUAGCCUUAA
rnacentral:Y_RNA from 1 species